UUUUUUUCGAAAAGGACUCCGGAACCCGGCGCCAAUUCCAGCCAAUCAGGGAGUAGAGCUGCGGGGCGGUGCUGGGGCGGGGCAGUCUCGCGGGAAGGAGGACAGUUUCGCGGGUUUGGGAGGUGGGUCUCAGGUAUCCGCCCAGGCCCUGGGGGCGCGGUGCAGUGGUGUGAGGCGCCUGGCUUCCAGGGAAGUUUGGGCGGGUCCCCGCGCCGGAACGUGGCGGGCGCAAGACUCCACAGAUGUGAAACUGAGGAGCUUGGCUCGCCUUCCGACUUUGUCACACAGCGACGCCACCAGACUGGGUCGGGCCCCCUCCGCGUUGUGCUCUGGAGGGCCUGGUUGUGGGCCCAGCGCCGCGCUUUUAGAAUCUCCUCAGCUGAAUCUGAUGCUCAGCCGUGGGUGAAGCGCAGCCGGUUGUUUUAGGCCCCGCGGAGCUGGAAGGGGUGUCGGAGCCGGAGCGCGCGUGGCCCCCUCGGUGUCGGGGUCACCCCGGAGUUGCCAGGGCUCAGGGAGGGUCGUAGUUUAGAUUUUGUCACCCCCACGUCCCAGUCCCCCGGCAGGUAUGGGGUUGGAGAACCCACGCGGGCUUCAUACCCAGUCCCCCGGCAGGCAUGGGGUUGGAGAACCCACGCGGGCUUCAUAAGCUAAAUAGAUGCCAGUUGACCGUCGAGAGGGGACGCUCUCUCCCCGUAGGCGUCCACGCUGGAGAAGGAAUAAUAUAAGCGAUUGCCUGGGGAGCCUGACAGGGCGAUGGCAAGGGGGAUGCUGGAGAGCACUGGCCCCUUGAGUUACUGAGUCGAAUGAAUGUGCUUGCUCUGCUCGAGGAACUGCUCGUAGGUUGCAGUCAUCCCAGUAUGGUCUUGAAGAUACGUAGUUCAGUUCACUUAGGACUUGACCAGAUAACGGGUUUCUUUUACAAGCCGUUCCUGAUAGUGGCCUGUUUCAACUAAUGGCAGAGCUCAUCUAAAACAAAUUUUUUUUUUAAGUUUUGAAGCUUUUAGUAUUUGUUUCCUAUUUUUAAAUUCUGAAGUUAUUUAUAGUAGCCCCAUAUAUGGAAUUAGAUAAUCUGUUUCAUUACACGUUUUAUUAUGUAUGAUCUUUGUAUAAUGUUCAUACCGUAAAAGUCAUUGAUUUUUAGUAUACUUACGGAGUUGUGCAAACAUCAAAGUAAUAGGAAAUUUUUUGAUGAUUUUCUGUUUCUGGUAAUUCUUUCUACAUAGAUAUAUAUUUUAAGAUGGAGUCUCGCCAGGCACGGUGGCGCGCACCUGUAGUCCCAGCUACUCGGGAGGCUGAGGUGGGAGGAUCGCUUGAGCCCAGGAGUUCUGGGCUGCAGUGUGCUAUGCCGAUUGGAUGUCCACACUAAGUUCAGCAUCAAUAUGGUGACUUCCCGGGAGUGGGGGACCACCACGUUGCCUAAGGAGGGGUGAACCAACCCAGGUUGGAAACGGAGCAGGUCAAAACUCCCGUGCUAAUCAGUAGUGGGAUCGUGCCUGUGAAUAGCCACUGCACUCCAGCCUGGGCAACAUAGCGAGACCCUGUCUCUUAAAAAAAUAAAAUAAAAAAAGAUGGAGUCUAGCUCUGUCGCUCAGGCUGCAGUGCAGUGGCGUGAUCUCUGCUCUUUGCAGCCUCCACCUCCAGGGUUCUAAUGAUCCUCCCACCUCAGCGUCCCAAGUAGCUUGGACCACGGGCCCAUGCCAACAUGCCGGCUAAUUUUUGUAUUUUUGGUACUGUCAGGGUUUCACUGUUGACCAGACUGGUCUGGAUCGGCCUCCCAAAAUCCUGGGAUUUUGGGCAUGAACCACCGUGCCUGACCUACUUUACUAUUCUUAAAAUUUGCACAAGUGAUACAUUAAACGCACAGACUUAGUAAUAUAAUGAUAUUGUAGUGAUAGCCCCUAAACACAUUGUCUCAUAUUGUGUUGUACCUAAACAAGUGAAAUUAAGAAGAAAAUUGAAGGAAAUAUUUCUUGUAAAUUGCAGAUAGUGAAUCUUUUGUAUCUUUUAAUACCAAAUAGAUAUUGACUAGUCCAGCUUUCUUUUUUGUUGAGGAAGAUGGCAGAAACCCCAUUUUACAGAUGGGGAUAGACUUUGAAGGAUACCACCCAAAGCUACAUAGCUGUGGCUGGUAUAGGCCCCAAACCUGAUGUUUCAUCUCUAAAUCUAUUGCCUUUGCCAUCUCAACAGCUUGGUUUUUGACAAUAGUAUCUAUGUAUAAGUUGUACAAUUCAUUCAUUCAUGGAGCAAAUUAUUGUUGAAUGGUCACUCUGCCAUAGCACUUCUCUAGGUGCUAGAGAUACCCUAGUGAACGAGCAAAGCUUCUGCUCUCAGCUCAUAUUCUGGUAGAGGAGACAAUGAUCAAGUAAAGAAAUACAUAUGCUAAUUUUAGAGAUUAUGACAUGCUAUAUUUUAAAAAUAGGCAAGCUAAGAGGAUAGGCAGUGAUGUUGGGAGGUGGGAGAGUGUUGUUGUCUCAGAAAUCUGGUAACAGAGAUUUAUCUGGGCAUCUGAGUUGAGCAUAAACAUUAAUGAGGAGAGGAACUUGGAAUGUAAAAGAGAAAGCAAUAAUUUGCUUUGAGCAACUGAAAAGAUGGAAUUGCCAUUUGCUGAGUUGAAAUAAGGUAAAACAUAGAAGGAUUAGGUUUUGGGGCUAAGAUUAUCAAUUUAGCUUUAGACAUUUUAAGAUUUUUCUUAGACAUUCAAAUGGAGAGAAGAUAUUUAAAUCCAUGAGAUUGAAUGAGAUCCCACCAAGAGUAUGGGUGUAGGUAGAGAGAGGACCAAGGACUGACACCUAGAACAUUUCAGUGUUCAGAAUGCAAGGAGACAGGAAUAAUCAGGAGGGAAGAUUGAAAAGGAGAGUCCAGCUAGGGGCUAUGGCUCACACCUUUACUAAUCCCAGCACUUUGGGAGACCAAAUACAGGAAGAUCACUUGAAUCUAGGAGUUUGUAGAACAGCCCAAGCAACAUAGCAAGACCCUGUCUCUACAAAAAUAAAAAUGUUUUAAUUUGCCUGUAAUCCCAGCACUUUGGGAGGCCAAGGUGGGCAGAUCACCUGAGGUCAGGAGUUCGGACCAACCUGGCCAACAUGGAGAAACCCCAUCUCUACUAAAAAUGCAAAAAUUAGCUGGACAUGAUGGCCGGUGCCUAUAAUCCCAGAUACUUGGGGGGCUGAGGCAGGAGAAUGCCUUGAACCUGGGAGGCAGUGGUUGCAGUGAGCCACUGCACUUCUGCCUGGGAAACAGAGCAAGACUCCAUCUCAAAAAUAAAUAAACAAAGAUUUAAAAAAAUUGGCCGGGCUUGGUGGCUCAUGCCUGUAAUCCAAGCUCUUUGGAGGCCAAGAUGGGUAGAUCACCUGAGGUCGGGAGUCCAAGACCAGCCUGACCAACAUGGUGAAACCCCGUCUUAAAAAAAAAAAUAGCACAUGUAUCCCAGAACUUAAAGUAUAAUAAUAAAACAUAGUAAUAAAUUUUAAAAAGAUAAAAAAGCUAGCUGGGUGGUGGCAUGUGCCUGUAGUCCCAGCUACUCAGGAGGCUGAGAUGGGAGGAUCCCAUGAGCCUAGGAGUUGGAGGCUUCAGUAAGCUAUAAUCAUACCACUGCACUCUAAUCUAGGCGACAGAGCAAGACCUGUCUCUUAAAAGGAGAGUCCAGUGUGUUCUGAGGAAAACCCCACGAGCAUCCCACAUUAGAAGACAAGUGAAGAGGCCUGACACGGUGUCUCACACCUGUAAUCGCAGCACUUUGGGAGGCCGAUGCAGGCAGAUCACUCGAGGUCAGGAGUUCAAGACCAACCUGACCAACAUGGCGAAACCUCUGUCUACUAAAAAUAAAAAAAAAAAAAUUAGCUGGAUGUGUUAGUACAUGCCUAUAAUCCCAGCUACUAGGGAGUUUGAGGCCAGAGAAUUGCUUGAACUCAGGGGAUGAAGGUUGCAGUGAGCCAAGAUCAUGCCACUGCACUACAGCCUGAGCAACAGAGUGAGACUCCACCUUCAAAAAAAGAAAAGAACUCAGGUGAAGAAUGUGUUUCGUGGAAAAAAGGGUAAUUAAUUCUGUCAACUGUUGCAAAUUGGUCAAAUAAAGAAUGAGAAUCAACCUUUCACAGAGAACAGACAUUUUUAUUUAAUGCUUCUAAAGGCAGUUGCUAGAAAAAAAUGUGUUUACUUUUUGCAGAGGCUCUGUUUUUACAACUUUUUGAUACCUGAAAAUUUUAAAUUUGUAAUUACUUUGACCUUAUAAUUCUACAUGUAGAAAUUUUUUUUUGGUGGGGGGGCAGGAUUUUACUCUGUCACUCAGGCUGGAGUGCAGUAACACAAUCAUAGCUCACUGCAACCUUGAACUCGUGAGUAGUUGGGACCUAUAGUCCCAACUAUAGGUGGCAUGUACCACCACGCCUGACUAAUUAAAACAUUUUUCUGUAGAGACAGGGUCUAUGUUGCCCAGGCUGGUCUCCAACUCCUGGCCUCAAGCCAUCCUCAAGUCUUGGCCUUCCAAAACAUUGGGAUUACAGGCAUGAGCCACCUCGCCCAGUUUAGGAAUUUAUCUUAAAGUAUUAUUUACAUACAAAGAAAGAUGUAUAGGCUGGGUGAGGUGGUUCACACCUGUAAUCCCAGAACUUUGGAAGGCAGAGGCUGGUAGAUCACCUGAGGUCAGACGUUCAAGACCAGCCUAGCUAAUGUGGUGAAACCCCAUCUCUACCAAAAAUACAAAAAUUAGCUGGGCCUGGUGGUGCACACCUCUAGUCCCAGCUACUCGGGAGGCUGAGGCAGGAGAAUUGCUUGAACCCAGGAGGUGGAGGUUGCGGUGAGCCGAGAUCGUGCCAUUGCACUCCAGUCUGGGUAACAACAGUGAAACUCCAUCUCAAAAAAUAAAUAAAUAAAUAAAAGUAUAAAAGUGUUAAUCACACAGCACUGAUUUCAACAGCAAAAAACAAUAAAAUCUCUGUCAGUAUGGAUGCAGUUGUUAAAGGAACAGAAGAUACAUAUGCAUAGACAUGUAAGAUCGCUUUCAUACUUUUUUUUUUGAGGUGGAGUUCCAUUCUUGUUGCUCAGGCUGGAGUGCAAUGGUGCAAUCUUGGCUCUGCCUCCUGAGUUCAAGGGAUUCUCCUGCCUCAGUCUCCUAAGUAGCAGUGAUUACAGGUGCCUGCCACCAUGCUUGGCUAAUUUUUUGUAUUUUUAGUAGAGAUGGGGUUUCACUAUGUCGAUCAGGCUGGUCUCAAACUCCUGACCUUAUGAUCCACUUGCCUCAGCCUCCCAAAGCACUGGGAUUACAGGGGUGAGCCACCACACCUGGCCUAUUUCUUAUUCUAUUGGUUUAGUUAUUAUCUAUUACUCUUAUUCCUAUAAACAUAACUUGUUUCUCUCCAAUUCAUUUUUAUCAUACAUAAUUAUAGACAGUGAACACUGUCUUCAAUUAUAGUGAAUUUAGCAGUAAAUUCACAUUAGACCAACUAGUAUAGCUUUAAAAAAUAUAUUUAUGUCUAGGUUCCAAUGUUAACCAACUAAAUCAGAACUUGGGUGAGGUCAGGGUUCAUUAUUUUUUGAAGAUAAGAUGAUGUAUGAAGAAUAUUCCUGGUGAUUCUGGUAUCAGGAAUACAAAUUUGGACAUACUUUCUCUGCUGUAAAAAUAUUUUCCUAAGGUCAGGCGAGGUGGCUCACGCCACCUGUAAUCCUAGCACUUUGGAAGGCGGAGGCGGUGGAACACUUGAGGUCAGGAAUUCAAGACCAAUCUGUCCAAUAUGGUGAAACCCCAUCUCUACUAAAAAUACAAAAAAUUAGUCAGGCAUGGUGGCACGUGCCUGUAGUUCCAUCUACUUGGUAGACUGAGGCAGGAGAAUUUUUGAAUCUGGGAGGCAGAGGUUUCAGUGAGCUAUGGGUCAAGAUGGCCAGCGGGAGACCUAUGUUAAUUCUAGCUAAAUAAUUAUAAGCUUGCUUGGCUUAGAGUACACUGAAGUUUAUACACCAAACUAAAUAUGUUAUUGGUGCAGUUAAUUAGAAAUCAAGCGGCAACAGGAGGCCUGAGGUAAAGACCAUCCAAGAGCAAAGUAACACCAGGGAACACUGCAGCGUGGUUGCAAAGCAGGCAAUACUUCUCUGGUCCCAUGAAUGCCUUCUCAACAUGAUGACUGCAUGAGGGUCUCAUAAAGAGGCUUGUGCAAAGAUCUCUGAGAAGGGAGGCGACUUCUGCUCACAAGGUCGGGUAGGGUCUUUGCAGAUGGGAGCUGACAAAGAGGAGAAAAGCCUUGCAGGGCAGAGAUCACGGAACCUCAGGCUCUGCCUAGGUUCUCAGAAUAUGGAGUGAUUUUAAUUGCUCUGUGUCCUCAAUGCUUGGGAGAUAAAAGCCCCUUGAUGCAUUGGGUGUGGUCAGACAGGGUGGCUCCUCAUCUGUCAUACUACUGAUGCAGGUGCACCCUGAUAACAAUCGGUGAUAAACUGAGAGUACUAGUUUAGCAUAUCCAAGAAUGAUCUCAAGCGCUGUUACAUGCUCAGAGCAUUAGUUUAGCAUGUCUUAGAAGGAUCUCAAGUGCUCUCCUCACUGGCUAUCUUACGUACCCCUCACCCUCCCCUUCCAGGCCAGUAAGAUCAAUGAGAUUGUGCACAUAAUAAAAGUGUUUGGAGCCCAGAGCUCAGGGCCAGCGUGGUUCUGGUGCUUGCGUUGGUCCCCUGGACCCAUGCCGUAAAUUCUAGUCUUGUGUCUCUGCCUUUAUUUCCUUUUCUCAAUCCCUCAUCACUGCAAGACUAAGGGCACCCACAUACGGGAUUGGGGCUGGUACCCAACAGUGAGCCAAUACCUCAGCACUGCACUCCAGCCUGUGUGAUAGAGCGAGACCCUGUCUCAAAAAAAAAAAAAAAAAAAAAAAAAUCCUAGAAUUAGAAUUCCAGUUUUUUAACACAUCUUAUGCUUUCAGAAUAGUAAAUGGAAUCAUCAUUUCACCUUCUUUCAAAGUACCUCUACCUUGAUUGUAUGUAUUGGAGUAUAAAAAUUUGACCUAGCCAAGAAUUUGACAAAAGAAAGGCCCAAAAUAUGAUUUUUUUUUUUUGAGACGGAGUUUUGCUCUUGUUACCCAGGCUGGAGUGCAAUGGCGCGAUCUUGGCUCACCGCAACCUCCGCCUCCUGGGUUCAGGCAAUUCUCCUGCCUCAGCCUCCUGAGUAGCUGGGAUUACAGACACGCGCCACCAUGCCCAGCUAAUUUUUGUAUUUUUAGUAGAGAUGGGGUUUCACCAUGUUGACCAGGGUGGUCUCGAUCUCUUGACCUCGUGAUCCACCCGCCUCGGCCUCCCAAAGUGCUGGGAUUACAGGCUUGAGCCACCACACCUGGCCUGAAAAAUAUGAAUUUCAUGUUUACACAACUGCUCACUUUUGGUGGGAUCACUUUCUUAAGGUUACUUAAGUGUACAAAGCUUGUUGAAAAUCAUUUGUGUUUUCACUUCAUUAAUUGGGGAAAUAAAGAGCUACAGGUUUUACUGUAACAUUUUAGAAGGUCCCUUUGUCUUUGGAUCUCUGUGAUGUGUUUACCUAGCAACAGCUUCUUUGAUAUGCAAACAUUCUACUGGCAAAUUGCUCAGAGCAGCCACUCAUGUUGGACAAUUCAGGUUUCUUGUGAAAACUGGCCCUGGAUUUGGAAUUUUCUCUGAAGUCUGAUGUGAAACUAGGUCUGCCUUGUCUUCAAGCAACAGGUUCAGCAAGUAGCUCCUUCUGAGGUCUAGUAAGCACUGAGGAUCUGAAGUGAAACCUUCCAGAAGGCAUUGCUGUUGGUACUGAGCAGAUCUCAGCAUCUCUUCCUGACUGGUCUGUGCAAACAUUCCUUUUAAAUACUUUGGGUCAUCAUUACUGGAUCUAUUUCAUGCUUCUUGAAUCUACAGCAUGUCAGGCCCUCUCCAGUUUUUAAACCACUCAGAUCCAGGAAGGCUUGCUACUGGGCAAACCAAUGGGCCCCAUGAGGCUAAGCCAUCAGAAGCCAGGCAUCUACCAGCUCACACAUCUCAGAAAAACAGCCAAGUGAAACUGGUUCUGUUUCAACACAUAAAAUUAUAUUUUCAACUAAGCUAUUCACAAUCUGGGGUGGCAUCAGCUUUAAGAUGUACCCUAAUUGCAGAGAUGUAAAAAUGUGAAAAUUUGUGCCUCCUAAAAUCAAUGAAAGAUGGCUUGUUCUGAUCAACCUCUUGAAGUAGUUCCCACCAGGAACCCAGUCAUAUGCAACAAAAGGGCAGGUGACCCAGGCCAUUCUGAGCUUGCUGGUUUGUUGGUGAAAAACAAGAAUCUUUUAGCUGAGCUAAGAAAUCUUCAGAAUAAACUUUUCAUAAAAGAAAUUUCACUGCAAAAGUUAAAGACUGAGCUAGAAAGUUACAAAGAAAAUAAUGUGCAACAGUCGUUCCGGAUAAUGUCCCUGAAAGUUAGUAUCAAGGACCUACAGGAACUUACUGCUUCUCUAACCAGAAUUAAAUAUUUGAGAAACACCAAUAUUCAGAGUCUUGAAAGAGGCAACUGGGAUUUAACUGAACGAAUUAUAGAACUAGAACACUGUCUAAGAGACAGGGUCUCUCUAUGUUGCACAGGCUGGUCUUGAACGCCUAGGCUCAAGCAAUCUCCCACCUCAGCAUCCCAAAGUUUUGGGAUUACAGCUUACACAGAACACAUCUGGUUGAAAGAGAAAAGGCAGAGAAAAAAGCAGACUUUUUGGAGGAGUUGUUCUCAGGCACUAAGAGUUUCACCCCUUAUAUUCAUAUGAGUGGACAAGAAGAUUCCUUGGAUACUUUCAUGGUGAAGGAUAAGAGUGAAGCUAUCCUGGCCAAGAACUUUGAGAGAGACAACACUUUUCACUCUGAAGGACCGAAAAAAAAAAAAUGAUCAGAAAAUUUGGGAUAAAUGUCAACAAGAUUUGAACUAUAAAGAAAAACAAGCAUCUGAGUCAGACAGACCUCCAUAUUCAUUCAGCUGGGAAACUAAAACUGUGCAGUCCCAGUAUCAGAAUUUCCUUGGUCAGUUGGCUACUCUUCUGAGUGACAGCAUUGUCUCCAUACCAGCCACAGAGGAGGCUGUGGAAAACAGGAUUCAGGAAAUUGGUGCAAAUGAGAAAUCUUGGAAAGCUAGAACCAAAGGGCUUCAGCAGGAAAUCCAGAUGCUCACUAAACAACUAGAGCAGCUGCAUCAUCUUUAUGAGGAAGGUGCUCAAGAAUCAUCCCAAGCUGAAGAAAAGUAUUGAGAACAAAAAAGACCCUUUAAAUGUCAGGAAAGAAAAAUUUCGAUCAAUGACUUUUUUCAAGAGAGAUUAGACUUGGACAGAAAGAAAGAACACUCAGAGACUAAGCAUUCCCAGAGAGACAAGCAUAAGAAUUUCAAAAAGCAAGAGAAAGACAACAUGCAACAAAUGUUAUUGAAUAUUCAGAAGAAUUUGCAGAUUGCUACGACACAAAGAUUGAAGAAGAAAGUUCAGAAACUUCAGAAGCAGCUCAGUGAUUUGAAAUUGUCAAAUAAAAAUAUGGAAACCCAGCUGAUAAGAGUAAAUGUCCUUAAAGACAAAACAAUUGAAAACCUCAGGCAAUCUUUAGCAAAUGUUGAAACAAUGAAAGAGAAGGCAGUUGUGAAAACAGAAAACUUGAAAACUACAUUAGACUCUGCAGAGCAAGAGGCAAGAUCAGACAAAGAGAAGACCCAGCAGAUGUUAGAUGCUAUCACUUCUGAGCCUCCCACAGCAAAGAGCACACCUGAAGAAAUAUCAGGACAAGAACAAGAGCUCAGCAACUUUCAAGAAACUAUUAUGAAGAUGUUGGGAUUUGACAUAAAAACAGCAGACAAGGAAAUCAUCAAUCAGCUAAAGCUUAUUAUUCAAGUUUAUGAAAUAUCUAACAAAUCAAAGAUUGCUUCUGAUUGUGAGACUGGAAAGGUUAAUUAAUAAAGCCAUUCUGCCUCUUCAUUGCUGCCAAGAACUCAGCAGAUAUGAAUAUUUCCUCCAGCAUUUUGGAUAUAGCUAAAUUAUGAAUAAAAU